rnacentral:lncRNA from 1 species
UUGGGCAUGUUGCCUUUGUUGUUGGUGGUGGAGGGCAUGGUUUUCCUUUAGGGGAUGGUGUAAUAACUGGUGGAACUGUCACGGGUGGAAUUCCGAUAGGUGGCAAGUUAAUAGGAGGUUUUACAAUAGGUGGUAAACCAAUUGGUGGCUUCAGAACUGGUGGAACUGUCACUGGUGGAAUUCCGAUAGGUGGCUUAAUAACGGGUGGAACGACGGGCGGCAAGUUGAUGGGAGGUUUUACAACUGGUGGAACUGUAACUGGUGGAAUUCCGAUAGGUGGCUUAAUAACUGGUGGAACAACUGGUGGCAAGUUGAUGGGAGGUUUUACAACUGGUGGAACUGUCACUGGUGGAAUUCCGAUGGGCGGCUUAAUAACUGGUGGAACAACAGGUGGCAAGUUGAUAGGUGGUUUUACAAUCGGUGGAAUUCCAAUGGGUGGCAAGUUGAUAGGGGGUUUAAUACUUGGAGAGGGAGUUUUGGGUUUUUUGGGUUUGUGAGAGGGUUUUCCACAAUAUCCACAACCAAGAAUGGGAGUGAAUGAAGAAAGGAAAAGCAUGGAAAUGAAAAGAAGACAUGUUAUUUUAGAUGACUCCAUUUUCCUAUGAGGAAAG